rnacentral:rRNA from 1 species
UGGCGGACGGGUGAGUAAUGUCUGGGAAACUGCCUGAUGGAGGGGGAGUAACUACUGGAAACGGUAGCUAAUACCGCAUAACGUCGCAAGACCAAAGAGGGGGACCUUCGGGCCUCUUGCCAUCGGAUGUGCCCAGAUGGGAUUAGCUAGUAGGUGGGGUAACGGCUCACCUAGGCGACGAUCCCUAGCUAGUCUGAGAGGAUGACCAGCCACACUGGAACUGAGACACGGUCCAGACUCCUACGGGAGGCAGCAUG